CGCUCGGCUGUCCUUUCUGGCGUACAGGUGGUGCCUCAGCAAAGAUGGUCAGGGUGAUCCAUCAGACGCCCGACUACGAGGACGACGAGCUGAAGACGGAGGACCUGAGAGAGACCGCCGACCAGACCUCCGACUCCUCCUCCCGGGGAUCCACCCAAUGGUGUCAGGUCCAGGUGUACGAAUCGCUGGAUUACCUGGCUCUUCCCACCAAAGACAACGGCUAAGCACCAGCUCCUGGGCUCAAUCAGUCCGUUUUUACUGUUGCAUGGUUUUCUAUGUAUGCUUCUUUCUACUACAUCUUCUGUGCCAAUGUAUUUUCUGUACAUAGAUUCCUUUGCAUUUGUUUACAGUGUACGACUACAUAAAUCCUUGUGCCACUCGGCCUCUGUGCGGACCUGUGUUUUGUGUUCUCUACUGUGCGGUUGAAAUUCAGAAACCACCGUCUAGAUGAAGUACGCUGUGCAAUCUGAUAACAGAGAACCGUUGCUCUUCAGUUUGUAUUUCUACACACUUGAGAACAAUGUGCAUGUGAAGGGCUGCAUGUACCCGACAUGAGGGAGAACACCGAAACAGAACCAGCACAGAAAGGCAUUUCUCCCACACAGAAGACCAAU
ensembl:lncRNA